UUGCAGGCACUAAGUAUUUUUCGGACCUUAUCGAGUUUGUGGGAAGCAAAAAAAAAGGAGGGGUAUUACGAUUGGUUUUUAUAUUGUUGAGGAUAUGCGUAAGAGAACCAUUUCUUAGAACUCGAUAUUGCAAGUAUAAAUCGAUGUGUGCAAAUUGACUUAUAAAUAAGUUAGGGGAUGCACAGACUUCCCCUGGCUUAAGUCAGAGGUGAUUCAAGGGAAAUUUUUUUCUUGAGGUUAGGCAAGUUAGUUGAUUCCUUGAUGGGAAUUGACCAUUGGUAACUGAAUGGAAGUGGUGUGGUGAUUUUGUUUUAGUUGACUUCAAGAUCUCUGUCUUUCAACCAUGUAUGGAAUGCAUUCUUGCUCCUUUAGGCAGUAACUCUUCAUAAAUAGCCAACUUCUACUUGGAAAUAUCUCCACCUUUCAUUUAUGGUGAAAAUGUCUAGGGAAGGGUUUCUGCCAACACAAGUUACAGCUUAUGAGAAUAUAAUACUACUGAUGGGAUAGAUGUCACGUCCAUUAAGUCAAGGUGCCAGAGCUCCCAUUCGGUCGCUAUCUGUUGUUGCUCACCUUGGGGUGAAAUUCAUGAGAAGGCCUCUCAGUAAACAGUUACUUUCAUGAACUGGAAAAGUCAUUCUGCUGAACCGAAUAAAGCGCGCAAAUGCUAUCGGCGUCCUGUUUGUGACAGUGUUAUCACAAAAUGUUACUAGUAUCCUAUUUGUGACAAGGUUCUCAACUCAUGGGUUGGGGGCAUUUGCACAAACUGAUGACGAGUAUUGUGAUAAUAAUUUUUGUUGAUUUAACUGGUUAAAUGUGUAUUUCACAAACUGCAAACAUUUUGUACAUUUUAUUUGUUAUAUAUGAAAAUGAAACUGAAGGCCCUUUUUUACAUAAUUUCUUGUUAUUAGCAUUACAUUACAAUGACGGCAAGGCCAUUUCAGGAGCCGAGCAUGGUUCUUUCGCCAGUACUUUGGGAUUAAUCUCAUUUUAUUGUUAUCAGGAGCUGCUGCACAUAUAUGCUAGAAACACUAGUCAGCCCUUGAAAAGUGUCAAAACGAGACAUGAUAUACGAUUUUGCUAUUAGAACUCCGUAUGUUCGUUUAGUAGUGAAGUGCAGCCUAUGCAGAUGAAUUCAAUGCGAUUUCCACCACCUAGGGCACCUUGGUUCGCGGUCGUACCACUACCACCAGAUCCGUUGCUAGAUAGUUCGUUUUGGAAGGCGGAGAAUGUACACAUUCAUUUGAAGAAAUUACAGGAAACUGCUCAUUUAGCCAAAGCAAUG